rnacentral:rRNA from 1 species
GUGGGGAAUCUUGCGCAAUGGGCGAAAGCCUGACGCAGCCAUGCCGCGUGAAUGAUGAAGGUCUUAGGAUUGUAAAAUUCUUUCACCGGGGACGAUAAUGACGGUACCCGGAGAAGAAGCUCCGGCUAACUUCGUGCCAGCAGCCGCGGUAAUACGAAGGGGGCUAGCGUUGCUCGGAAUUACUGGGCGUAAAGGGCGCGUAGGCGGACAGCUUAGUCAGAGGUGAAAGCCCAGGGCUCAACCUUGGAAUUGCCUUUGAUACUGGCUGUCUUGAGUUUGGGAGAGGUGAGUGGAACUCCGAGUGUAGAGGUGAAAUUCGUAGAUAUUCGGAAGAACACCAGUGGCGAAGGCGACUCACUGGCCCAAUACUGACUCUGAGGCGCGAAAGCGUGGGGAGCAAACAGGAUUAGAAACCCGAGUAGUCC